GCAACAUUCCCGCGCUUGUCGCCGCUCCGGUCCACGAAAGUGCAAAGUAUUACGAAAAAGUAACGUCGACUGGAAAGUUUUGUGAACAAUUCCUGAAACAGAGGCUGAUUUUCUACAGGAAAAAUAAGCGAGGAAGCUGGACUAUGCUGCAUGACAAUGAGACCAGAAAAGAAUAGUCGAAAUAUAACAUUGGGAUGCACAGUGCG